rnacentral:lncRNA from 1 species
ACCUGGAAAGAAACAGAUAUGAAAACAUCCCUGGGAUUAGUUUAUAAAAUGGAUGAGAAAUUUAUAACCGCUUCCAAAAUGCUGACAGGGUAAUGAAUAAUAUAACAGGAGGAAUUAUUCAGUGGCGUUUACCCACGGCCACGAUGAAGCUAGGUACAGCUCCCAGGGUGAGGUGCACAUUUGCUUAUAAAUAAAACUCUUGUGAUUACGAUGUUAAAUAAGUUCUCUCCUUUGAGCUCUUGUCGGCCAACGUCCGGCGGCGGAUAAGUAACAAGCUCACAGCGGGCCGGCGGUGCUGACAGCCUGCUGCUGCCAAUGUCAUCUACUCGCCCUGUCAUCCCCCGUCCAGUCAAUUUGCUGUUCUCAUCUGGGCGCUCGAAGCGACCGGCGUCACGGCCGCACGCGACACUACGGACAGCAAGGAGCGGCCACACAGGACCCCUUGGGCGGGGCUGACCUUCUACCAGGACGUAGCGCCGGCCGCGUGGCUAACAGUCACACUGACCGGUGGGGAUUUACGCUUAGGUUUUAUUUUUAGUGAACUCGCCCAGACCGAGACAAAUUGACCGCGGCGUUGAAACGCUGGCAGGGAAAGGUCGAUGGCUCUGCCGCCCGUAUAUCACAGCAACGCGUUGUGCUGUGAUUUGAUGGGGGGCCGAUUCAUCCCAGACACUGUGGUGGUGCCAACGCUGAUUACAAAUGAACUGGACCACAGAAGGUUUCAAUCAGUACCAGGAGCCAGAUGUGGGCAUCAGGACACUGGCCAAAGAGGAGGAGAGAGUGGAGGAGGAGGCGGAGGAUUGGACAGUGGUAAGACACGCCAGGAACGCCAAAACCAAGACGAGUUAGAACGAAGGACCUGCCCGCGGGGCUGCAGGACGCAGAAAGCCUCGGUCAACCUGCCCAGAGACUGGAACGGAUCUGUAGGACACCAUGAAGUUAAAAUGGGUUAUUUUCACAGUUGUAUUAUUCUCCCAUUUAACUAAAUGUCAUGUAGUCUAAACAGUUACGUUUUUUUACAGUUAUUUUACAUCCAAAUCGAAUAAAGGCAACUUCGCUCUCCCGCUGUGUGUGUGUGUGUGUGUGUGUGUGUGUGUGUGUGUGUGUGUGUGUGUGUGUGUGUGUGUGUGUGUGUGUGUGUGUGUGUGUGUGUGUGUGUGUGUGUGUGUGUCCUGACCGCUUGUCGAAACUGGAAGGCUUACAUUUUUUACCAAUAACAUGUUCUCACCAAAGGCUGUUUCCACUCCCACGCGUCUGAAGCCUGCGACAGGGGGCUAACAACCACAGCUGGCCAGCGACCCACCUUUAGUCACAUCUGCAGAAUCCACCAUUCCCUUCUGAGGGAUCCCCUCACAUUCCCACAUGUAUGUCUUGCUUCACGCUAAUGACCUGUUUUACUUGGAAAUGUCUCAUAUGGCGUGGUGAAAUAGGUGCUGAAUGCAAUUUCCGAUUGUGUUUGUAAGAAGAAAUUCAGUUUCUGUCCGUAGGACUUGAGACGGUGAGGAAUGGAAUCAACACAUUUCCUAAGACGCUACCCCUCUUUUUCACGGACUUUCCCGUCUCGUAGAGAAAAAACGUUUGAAUCCAGGGCAGACAUGACUCAGGUCCUAAUAGAUGGGGUGUGGUGGCCCUUCCCUGCAGUUGCGGCUCUUGACAUGUUCUUGGCUUCGAUUGCACUCUUUGUGGGGGAAACCUCAACAAACAGCACUGUUGGAAUAUCCAGAUGUUUCGUGGCGGUAGGGAAUGGAACGGUAAUUUAUAAUGUAUUUUAAGAAACAUAAAAACGUAUCACGUUACGUUAUAUAUCAUAAAACAUGUAUCUCUAUACCAGUUUGAUGCCUGUUUCAAAUUUGCUACCGUGGAUACUGUGGAAAAACGAAGAUAUAAAUAUGAACACAUUUGAAUGCUUUAUCUAAUGUAAUUUUAUACAAGGUUUCAUGUUGACUUUACAGGAUGCUCCUUUUAGUCUACAUAAAGUCUUAUUCAUAUAAACAUAUAGGUCCUCUCUAUAGACCAAACCUAAUGGUUUCUGCUUUCUUGAGGUCACUUAGGUUGUUGGCUGGGCUUGUACAGGAAUCAGUCCAGGACCCCUGGCCCCCACCCCGAUAUAUGGAAGUUAAUAGUGACUGAUAGUCUGUGCUAUGCUUCAACCUUCUUCAGGGAAAACGGUGGUCCAUUGAGAGACCCAUGCGCUGCCCAUUAGCUGCACAUGAAGUUCAUUCUUCUUCAGAAUCAAUUGUGGACCAAACGGUCGGGGAAUGAACAAUGGG